AUACGGAGGGUGCGAGCGUUGUUCGGAAUUACUGGGCGUAAAGCGUACGUAGGCGGACUGGAAAGUUGGGGGUGAAAUCCCGGGGCUCAACCCCGGAACUGCCUCCAAAACUUCCAAUCUAGAGAUCGAGAGAGGUGAGUGGAAUUCCAAGUGUAGAGGUGAAAUUCGUAGAUAUUUGGAGGAACACCAGUGGCGAAGGCGGCUCACUGGCUCGAUACUGACGCUGAGGUACGAAAGCGUGGGGAGCAAACAGGAUUAGAAACCCCUGUAGUCC
rnacentral:rRNA from 1 species